rnacentral:rRNA from 1 species
GCUUGAUUGAACCGCAUGGUUCAAUCAUAAAAGGGGGCUUUUAGCUACCACUUACAGAUGGACCCGCGGCGCAUUAGCUAGUUGGUGAGGUAACGGCUCACCAAGGCGACGAUGCGUAGCCGACCUGAGAGGGUGAUCGGCCACACUGGGACUGAAACACGGCCCAGACUCCUACGGGAGGCAGCAGUAGGGAAUCUUCCGCAAUGGACGAAAGUCUGACGGAACAACGCCGCGUGAGUGAUGAAGGUUUUCGGAUCGUAAAACUCUGUUGUUAGGGAAGAACAAGUACCGUUCGAAUAGGGCGGUACCUUGACGGUACCUAACCAGAAAGCCACGGCUAACUACGUGCCAGCAGCCGCGGUAAUACGUAGGUGGCAAGCGUUGUCCGGAAUUAUUGGGCGUAAAGCGCGCGCAGGCGGUUUCUUAAGUCUGAUGUGAAAGCCCCCGGCUCAACCGGGGAGGGUCAUUGGAAACUGGGGAACUUGAGUGCAGAAGAGGAGAGUGGAAUUCCACGUGUAGCGGUGAAAUGCGUAGAGAUGUGGAGGAACACCAGUGGCGAAGGCGACUCUCUGGUCUGUAACUGACGCUGAGGCGCGAAAGCGUGGGGAGCGAACAGGAUUAGAUACCCUGGUAGUCCACGCCGUAAACGAUGAGUGCUAAGUGUUAGAGGGUUUCCGCCCUUUAGUGCUGCAGCAAACGCAUUAAGCACUCCGCCUGGGGAGUACGGUCGCAAGACUGAAACUCAAAGGAAUUGACGGGGGCCCGCACAAGCGGUGGAGCAUGUGGUUUAAUUCGAAGCAACGCGAAGAACCUUACCAGGUCUUGACAUCCUCUGACAACCCUAGAGAUAGGGCUUCCCCUUCGGGGGCAGAGUGACAGGUGGUGCAUGGUUGUCGUCAGCUCGUGUCGUGAGAUGUUGGGUUAAGUCCCGCAACGAGCGCAACCCUUGAUCUUAGUUGCCAGCAUUCAGUUGGGCACUCUAAGGUGACUGCCGGUGACAAACCGGAGGAAGGUGGGGAUGACGUCAAAUCAUCAUGCCCCUUAUGACCUGGGCUACACACGUGCUACAAUGGGCAGAACAAAGGGCAGCGAAGCCGCGAGGCUAAGCCAAUCCCACAAAUCUGUUCUCAGUUCGGAUCGCAGUCUGCAACUCGACUGCGUGAAGCUGGAAUCGCUAGUAAUCGCGGAUCAGCAUGCCGCGGUGAAUACGUUCCCGGGCCUUGUACACACCGCCCGUCAC